rnacentral:rRNA from 1 species
AUUGAACGCUGGCGGCAGGCCUAACACAUGCAAGUCGAACGAGUGGCGGACGGGUGAGUAAUGUAUGGGAAACUGCCUGAUGGAGGGGGAUGACUACUGGAAACGGUAGCUAAUACCGCAUACCAUCAGAUGUGCCCAGAUGGGAUUAGCUAGUGGGUGGGGUAACGGCUCACCAAGGCGACGAGCCCUAGCUGGUCUGCGAGGAUGACCGGCCACACUGGGACUGAGACACGGUCCAGACUCCUACGGGAGGCAGCAGUAGGGAAUAUUGCACAAUGGGCGAAAGCCUGAUGCAGCCAUGCCGCGUGUAUGAAGAAGGCCUUCGGGUUGUAAAGUACUUUCAGCGGGGAAGCGUUACCCGCAGAAGAAGCAACGGCUAACUCCGUGCCAGCAGCCGCGGUAAUAC